AGGGUUUGAUCCUGGCUCAGAGUGAACGCUGGCGGCGUGGAUUAGGCAUGCAAGUCGAGCGAAGUUUAUUGAAGAAGAAUGUUUGAAACCUUCGGACCGAUUACGUAUGGAUUCGAUAAUCUUAGCGGCAAACGGGUGAGUAACACGUGGGUAACGUACCUUGAGGAGGAGGAUAGCCUCGAGAAAUUGAGGGUAAUACUCCAUGAGCCCUGGAUUCUGAAAUGAAUCAGGGGAAAGGUGGCCUCUACAUGUAAGCUAUCACCUUAAGAGCGACCCGCGUCCUAUCAGGUUGUUGGUGAGGUAAUGGCUCACCAAGCCUAAGACGGGUAGCUGGUCUGAGAGGAUGGUCAGCCACAUCGGGACUGAGACACUGCCCGGACUCCUACGGGAGGCUGCAGUCGAGAAUCUUUCACAAUGGACGAAAGUCUGAUGAUGCGACGCCGCGUGGGGGAUGAAGGUUUUCGGAUUGUAAACCCCUUUUAUUGAGGAGGAAUGUCUGUCUUUUGAAUAAAUGGAUAGAAUUGACUGUACUCGAUGAAUAAGCCACGGCUAACUCCGUGCCAGCAGCCGCGGUAAUACGGAGGUGGCAAGCGUUACUCGGUUUGACUGGGUGUAAAGGGUCCGCAGGCGGCCAAACAAGUGAAAGGUGAAAGCCUUCGGCUCAACCGGAGAACUGCCUUUCAAACCAUUUGGCUCGAGGCUGGGAUAAGAGAGUAGAACUGCUAGUGUAAGGGUGAAAUCUGUGGAUAUUAGCAGGAAUGCCAGUGGGGUAGCCGGCUCUCUAGUCCAGACCUGACGCUCAGGGACAAAAGCUAAGGGAGCGAACAGGAUUAGAUACCCUGGUAGUCUUAGCUGUAAACGAUGGGCACUAGGUGUUUGUCCGUAAGGAUGGAUGUCGAAGCUAACGCGUUAAGUGCCCCACCUGGGGACUACGGCCGCAAGGCUAAAACUCAAAGGAAUUGACGGGGACCCGCACAAGCGGUGGAACACGUGGUUUAAUUCGAUGCUACGCGAGGAACCUUACCAGGGUUUGACAUGCUGGAAGUAGUGCCCCGAAAGGGGUUCCGACCGGUAUCCAAUCCGGAACCAGCACAGGUGCUGCAUGGUUGUCGUCAGCUCGUGCCGUGAGGUGUUCCCUUAAGUGGGAGAACGAGCGCAACCCUCGCCAUUUGUUGCUAUCUUUAGCUUUUGUUAAAGAGCACUCUAAUGGGACUGCCCGCGUUAAGUGGGAGGAAGGUGGGGACGACGUCAAAUCAGCAUGGCCCUUAUGUCCUGGGCUACACACGUGUUACAAUGCCUACUACAAAGGGAUGCCAAAUCGUAAGAUGGAGCAGAUCUCAUAAAAGUAGGCUCAGUUCGGAUUGAGGGCUGCAACUCGCCCUCAUGAAGCUGGAAUCGCUAGUAAUGGCGCAUCAGCUACGGCGCCGUGAAUACGUUCCCGGGUCUUGUACACACCGCCCGUCAAGCGCUGAAAAUGGGGGGCACCCGAAGUCCCGAUUUAUCGGGAUCACGGUGAAUUUCGUGAUUGGCGCUAAGUCGUAACAAGGUA
rnacentral:rRNA from 1 species